CGGCGGGGCCUCCAUGGUGGGAUCGGGAGCGGAGCGGGGCGGGAGCGGCUCUGCCCGCCCCGGCGUCACCUGCGGCCGCCAGUCCCGCUCCUGCGGGGCUGGGCCGGGCUGGGCUCGGCGGGGCCGGGUGGGGCCGGGGUCGUGGCCAGGGGCGCCGCGGCGGCAGCUCCGGGGGCCGCGGUGGCGGGAGCCGCUCUCCCGGGAUCCGCCGGCUGCCGCGUCUCCCGGGCGUGCUGGUGGAGUGGUGUGCGGCAGCGGGCACCGGCGGCAGAAGGGAUGGAGCGAGCUGCGGAGGGCUCACCUUAUGGCGUGAUGGCACCGCAACCGGGGGCACGGCCAGCCGGACAGCUUCCUUCUUCGGAAUCCUCCCCCGCUUCUCAACUGCACGCGUUGUGUUUUGUCUGCUCCUUUUAAUCUGGAUACUAAGGAAAUCGUGAUUUUGUUGGUGGUGGUUUGGGUUUUUAUCUUUUUAGACUGGUUUAUGUAACAGAUCACCUAAGAAGACCUGCUGGACGACCAUGACAGGACUCUGCAAUCAGUAUCAAAAGGCACCAGUCCCUCCUGAGCGGGUAUAUGCAAUUUCACCGGCACGGGCAUAUGCAUUGCUACUUUCAACCGUCUGAAUUUCAGAGUAGCAUCACUGGAAAAUUUCACAUAGUGACUUGGAGGUUUAGAUGAUGUGCUUUUCAUUAUGCUUUUGUUAUGUUUUUCAACCGUUUCAUUGUUUUACCACUUGAAAAGAAAAAGAGAAAGUAAAAAAAGACUAAGCCUUGACUGAUCUUACUCUUGGUACUUAGUUCCACAAGUUCUUCUGUAGAGUCUCUGGACAAGCAGGAAAUCUGGGAUAUGUGUGGUGUAUGGUCUCAGUGCAAUUGAAACCCGGACAACUAUCUCUAACCCAAACCCUUGACCAUAGGGUGCAAAUACAAGAUUUAACCCCUCGAAUGACCUCUUGAACCCAUCAGUUACCAGGCUGCUCCUUGUCGCAUCACACCUUUAUGCACCAAGCAAAGAGAUAUGCUGGAGGGAAGAUUCCUCUUCUUAAACUUGUACUUUAUUCAAGUUCCUGGUCUUUUAAUCUCCUUCCAAGAGGCAGGGAGACGGAAAAGAGAGAGAAAAAAAGACAGACAUUAUUAGUGUUUUGUAACAAGACUAAUCAGUUACUAAGAUGAGAAUACCACUUUUCUGCUGUGCCUUCCACAUACAAAGUUGUCACAGAAUUUCUGUGGCAGGAGCAAGGAUAUACCAGUGUAGUUACUUGUGUAUAAGGUGUUGGAGAUUUAGUGUCUGAAAAAAGUGGUAUCGUUGUCAAGCA